rnacentral:rRNA from 1 species
AGUGGCGGACGGGUGAGUAACGCGUGGGAACGUGCCCAAUGGUACGGAAUAACUCAGGGAAACCUGAGCUAAUACCGUAUACGCCCGAGAGGGGAAAGAUUUAUCGCCAUUGGAUGGGCCCGCGUAGGAUUAGCUAGUUGGUGAGGUAAUGGCUCACCAAGGCGACGAUCCUUAGCUGGUCUGAGAGGAUGAUCAGCCACAUUGGGACUGAGACACGGCCCAAACUCCUACGGGAGGCAGCAGUGGGGAAUCUUGCGCAAUGGGCGAAAGCCUGACGCAGCCAUGCCGCGUGGAUGAUGAAGGUCUUAGGAUUGUAAAAUCCUUUCACCGGGGACGAUAAUGACGGUACCCGGAGAAGAAGCCCCGGCUAACUUCGUGCCAGCAGCCGCGGUAAUACGAAGGGGGCUAGCGUUGCUCGGAAUUACUGGGCGUAAAGGGCGCGUAGGCGGACAUUUAAGUCGGGGGUGAAAUCCCAGGGCUCAACCCUGGAACUGCCUUCGAUACUGGAUGUCUUGAGUGCGGGAGAGGUGUGUGGAACUCCGAGUGUAGAGGUGAAAUUCGUAGAUAUUCGGAAGAACACCAGUGGCGAAGGCGACACACUGGCCCGUUACUGACGCUGAGGCGCGAAAGCGUGGGGAGCAAACAGGAUUAGAUACCCUGGUAGUCCACGCCGUAAACGAUGAUUGCUAGUUGUCGGGG